AGAUGAAGAACGCAGCGAAAUGCGAUAAGUAAUGUGAAUUGCAGAAUUCAGUGAAUCAUCGAAUCUUUGAACGCACAUUGCGCCCGCCAGUAUUCUGGCGGGCAUGCCUGUUCGAGCGUCAUUUCAACCCUCAAGCCCUGCUUGGUGUUGGGGAUCGGCGUUGCCUCCUCCGUCGUUCGCGGCGGGGUGAGGUCGCCGCCCCCGAAAUGAAUUGGCGGUCUCGUCGCAGCUUUCCUUUGCGUAGUAACAUACCACCUCGCAACCAGGAGCGCGGCGCGGCCACUGCCGUAAAACGCCCAACUUUUUCAAGAGUUGACCUCGAAUCAGGUAGGAAUACCCGCUGAACUUAAGCAUAUCAAUAAGCGGAGGA
rnacentral:misc_RNA from 1 species